UAGUCGGAUAAUCGCGCUUUUUAUAAGUGAGGAAAGUCCGUGCAUUCAAGAACAGACUUCCGGAGAAACUCCGGACGACGUGAGUCGGUGGAUAGUGCCACAGAAAUGUAGACUGCCGAUGGACAUAUGUCACAGGCGAUGGUGCAACGGUGAGUUAAGAGCCUCACCAGUGAUAUUGAGAAAUAUCAGCUAGGUAAACCCAAGUCGAAUGCAAGAUUAAAUCGAAGGUUAUAAAGGCUGUUCGCCCACUUCGGAAAUAUCGCUAGUGGUUACAAGUAAUUGUAAUCCCAGACAGAUGAUUAUCUUAAAACAGAACACGGCUUAUGAACUACUU
rnacentral:RNase_P_RNA from 1 species